CCUACGGGAGGCAGCAGUGGGGAAUCUUGCACAAUGGGCGAAAGCCUGAUGCAGCGAUUCCGCGUGGAGGAUGAAGCAUUGCGGUGUGUAAACUCCUUUUUUGGUGGAAGACGAAUGACGGUACCCCAAGAAUAAGGGCCGGCUAACUACGUGCCAGCAGCCGCGGUAAU
rnacentral:rRNA from 1 species